rnacentral:rRNA from 1 species
UGCGUAGGCGGAAUAUUAAGUCAGUGGUGAAAUCCUGCGGCUCAACCGUAGAACUGCCAUUGAUACUGUUAUUCUUGAAUGUAGUUGAGGUAGGCGGAAUGUGUAAUGUAGCGGUGAAAUGCUUAGAUAUUACACAGAACACCGAUUGCGAAGGCAGCUUACUAAACUAUGAUUGACGCUGAUGCACGAAAGCGUGGGGAGCGAACAGGAUUAGAUACCAUGGUAGUCC